GACGAACGCUGGCGGCGUGCUUAACACAUGCAAGUCGAACGGUGAAGCGCCUUCCUUUUUGGUGGGUGUGGAUGAGUGGCGAACGGGUGAGUAACACGUGAGUAACCUGCCCCCUUCUUCUGGAUAACCGCAUGAAAGUGUGGCUAAUACGGGAUAUUCUGGGUCUGUCGCAUGAUGGGUCUGGGAAAGAUAUUGUUUCGGUGGGGGAUGGGCUCGCGGCCUAUCAGCUUGUUGGUGGGGUGAUGGCCUACCAAGGCGGUGACGGGUAGCCGGCCUGAGAGGUUGGGCGGUCAGAAGGGGGGUGAACUGCGGACGGGACGCCUGCGGGAGGCAGCGGCGCGGGGUGUGGGAUGGUGGGCGUCGGCCUGAUGCAGUCGCGCCGCGUGGGGGAGGGCCCGCUUCGGGUUGGGAGGCUCUUGCGGUAGUGAGGUAGGCCGGCCUGGUGUGCGGGGUGCUAGCCGGUAGCUGAAUAAGAAGCGCCGGCGAACUACGUC
rnacentral:rRNA from 1 species